CGACAACCCUAGCCAUUCAUGCGCUCUCCCCCCAAUCCCCUCUCGUUUGGCCGCCGCCUCCCCAUCUCCCGCUCCGCGCCGUCGGCGGCGUCCUCUACGGCGAGCCGUCGUCGCCCGCGUCCUCUCGCUCUGGGUCAUCAAGACCAAGGGCGAGCGGUGAGCCAGGCAAGAAAAGGCGGCUCUGCCUCGCAUGGCCGAGCUCGCGUCGUCUUCGUCGGCUCCGGCAAGGCAGGGCCAUGGGGGUCGGCCGCAGUCUUCCUCGGCGGCGCGCUGGCCAUACCUCGCCGCCUCUCGCCUAGCGACCGACCCCCAAUCCGCUCGCGAGCUUCCUCGUCCCCAAUCCCUCGACGAUUUCUCUUCCGCCCCUCUUUCCUGCUCGUUUCUGCUUCUCGUCCACCUCCACUCGCCUCUGCUCUUGGGAUGCGGCUGCCUCUCCCUCGUAUGGUCGUUCUCCCGAUGUCGCCAUAGCUGGCCUUGGGCGCGAGCGCCACCUCCCUUCGUCGCCAUGACUGGCCCGGAGUAGCGCCGUCCUUGGGCGCGAGCAGUGCUUCCCAUCGUCGCCAUGGUUGGCCCGGAGAGCGCCGAUCUUGCGCGCGAGCGCCGCAUGCGGCACGAGCAGGGCGCCAGCCUUGGGUUGGACAAAAGAUUCGUGAAGGCGUCCGCCGGUCAUGCUGGUGGCGUAGAAGAGAAAGGGACGGGCCGCUGCCACCACGGAGACGAAAUUCAUCCUCACUGGCCCAGGCCAAAUAAGGUGCUCCUGGCUUCUCCUAAUCCUCUUCCCCCUUAUGCUAACAUUUUUCUCUCCCCGUCCAAUCCUUAGUGUUUGAGUCAGCCUCCAUGCCGGCCGCCGUUCAUUCUUUGCCCCUCCACCAGGACCCAUCUUUGUCUCGUAUGGGGAUAGAAGGACGGUAUCAACAGAGCUGCUCGGAGCUUCGCUGGCAAACCUUAGGAUUGCAGUCACAAUGACAAGCUAGCCGGCUAUACCAACAAAGCCAAAGCAAAACAAAAAUUAAGGAAACCUUGUGAUAUGCAUAGAUCCGAGUUUCAGGGGAUCUAGGUUCUCUCUGGUGGAUAGGGGUUUUAUAUAUGUGAUCAUAUCCGCGGAGAUGGUGAAAUGGGUUGGCAGUGUUAUGAAGCUGGGAAGCUGUUGAAGAAGACCAACACUUUCACUGACUUAGUUGCUUGUGCUGAGCAGUAAAGAAACGUUUUGUAUCAGCGGGAGAAGUGCAUGUGGCAUGUUCAUGGGUAUUAUCCUAAAUAUGAGGCCUGACUUAUUCAAGCCAACUGUUGCUGAGGUGCCUUUAGUUGAUGUUCUCACAACUAUGCUUGAUCCAGCUAUCCCGUUGACUGCAGCUGAAUGGGAGAGUGAGCAACUCUUGUGGAGUGAGAGGAAAUGACAAGCCGUUUGUGCAAAAUAGGAGUUAAUCGAAGAGCUGGAGUCUAGAGGGAAAAAAGUUCAGAUUUUGCGACAGUAUUUCAGAGAAGCUGGUGUCGGUUAUCUUAGAUAGUCCCAACAAGGUUUCUCUAAAAGGAUAUUCACAAGAAGAGUGGACCAUAGAUGAGAGUGAUGAACCAUAGAUGAUGGAAAUACUUAAAUAUAGAUGGAGAUAAUGCUGAACUAAAAGCGCCUACGGGUUUGUUGGACAAUCGUCAUCGGCCAUGGUGGAGGGCUGGAGGAGGGAGGUGGAGCAGGAACGUCGGUCGCACUCCAUCCUACACGCCGAUGCCCCCUCCUGGUCUCGGAAAAAGAGGCCAAGUCAUGCCAGGCAACAGCGAGCAGGGCGUUCAACGCAGUUGUUGGGACAGGCUGCCGGAGUGGUGUUCUUGACCUCAUGUGCAGCUGGGAAAAGAUGUCCGCUUUGUUGUACUGCAAGCUGCUGAUGGCAGGCGAGUUUUAGCUAGCUUCUCGCGAGGAUUUCUGCUAGGUCAUGAAGCACAAAAAAGGCCUGAGUAAAAAUAACAUGUGCCGUUUGCGGCCGGUCAAGAGCUUGGCCAGUAUGGGCAGCAAUACAAAUUUCGAGCAAUUAAUCGUGAGGCUUUGGUGUACAGGAUCAUUGAGAAGGUUUAGAGUAUCCUUGAUGCUCUAUUUGGGUAGGGAAGACCAAAAAGUGUUGCCUACCAAUGGAAGAUUGUGUGUGCUCAAAACUUGCUCCGUGCAAUUUGUAUGGCGGCAUAAAAUUUUGGCUGUACAUGCAUCCAAAGAUCUGUCUUAAGAUUUCUGUUGUACUCGCCGCCAGGACCGUUGCCAGCACUCAGCAAGAUCUCGGCUUUGUACAUCCUUCUGGUUGAAUGAUUCCCAGUGAUUGAUCAUGCUCAGAGUCCAGAAUCCAAACAUGCUGAGUUAGUCCAGAAAAAUAGGCAAGCCACCAAUCUGAACUAAAUUUUGACUAGGAUCAUUCUCUUUUCAAUCAUUCUUAUGCUGCUAUUUAAUUUAUCUUUGUACAAAACACAUCCAUGUGUUAAGUCAAUGUGCGCAUGAUUGUUAGACCGUUAAUAGCGCGUAAACAUUUGGAUCGCGGGUUACAUUGCUACAUGCUGGCCAAUUAUUUGUAACUUUUCUUAUGUACUUUGUUGAAUAAAUUGGAAAGAGAAGUAUUUUGUUAGUAAA